rnacentral:lncRNA from 1 species
ACUCGCACAAGGGAAAGGGAGAAAAGCCACCACCAAAACACAAGCCACCUCACGGGCACUUAUUAGUUGAAGAGGUUGAAGACUCACACAAGGGGAAAGGAGAAAAACCACCGCCAAAGCACAAACCACCUCAUGGACACCUUUUAGCUGAAGAGGCCAACGACUCUCACAAAGGAAAGGGAGAGAAGCCACCAUGCAAGUCUCCUCACAAACCCCCAUCAGCCAACUAAGUGCCUUACGCUAAUUUCGCUAGAUGCUUAAAAAUAAGAAACAGAAGUAGUUUACUCUUCUGUUGGUUUCUGUAUCUGCAUUUUUCACUGAAUUAGUAUUUGUACUUUGGCUUGUAUUAUAUGAGUACUACCCUCUAGUUGGCUGUUUUAUGUAGAUUAUGGUUUUAUGUUCUAGUGCUGCGCGUAUUAUUUCAGUUGACUUAACUUUUAUUUGCAAAAUAUACAGCAAGACAUGCACACAAUCCUAGUACGUAGUUUUGCCACAUGCAUAUAUUUGGUGGUAGGAUAUUGUCAACGACAACAACGUUUAAUUACUUUAACUUAAACACGUGCUGAUGAUUUUUUUUUUUGUAAAAGCCCUUUAUUAGUAAACUAGUAUUACUCUGACAUCAACAGAUAUACCAUAGGUUUUGUCUAAAACUUGAAGGUUUCUGUAGUUUAAUUUGGUAAGUAAAAUUUUUUGUGUGUAGCACAUAAUGAAUAUGUUACUUACAUGUGUAGAUUUAUAUUUUACAUUUUAUUUUAAUAUUAGAUAAUUAAUAUAUAUAUAUUUAAUUAUUUAAAUUUAUAUAUAUUACUAAUUUAUUAAUUUAGUCUAUAUAUAUAUAUGAUAUACAUUUAAGUUAAAUUAGGUAAGAAGUUAUUAAGUACUUCCAAAUUAAUAUGAAAUAAUUCUCUAAAGGAAAUGAAUCAACUCUUGGAAAAUGUCGGGAGAAAAGAUUUCAAAUUUCUGCAUGUCUCUGUUUCUGCUCAGUGGAUGUCUCUGUUUCUGCUUGCUGCCUAUGUUGCAAUAUUUAUUUGGCUUUUUAUUCCUGGUAAAUUUCUUAUUUUCCUCUUAAUUUUGACUAGGCCGGCUGAUUCGGGAGUAAGAUUUAAGUAGUUUUAUAUUUAAUGAAAAGUAGAAUUCUGAAGAAGCGAAAAUAAAUAUAAAAAGGGAUAAUUGGUGUUCUGAGUGAAUCAUUAUUAAACACAAAAUUAGUAUUACAAACAAAAUUGCAAUUAUCAAAAUGACAGUAUGCUCCACAGAUAGAUGAUUAUCUAAUCAGUACUUAUAAUUAGCCUAAAUUUAAUAGGAAUAGUACAGAAUUAAACUUUCUUUUUUAAAAAAAGGGUCAUUAAACUGAAUCAUAAGAACAGGAUAGAGAGUAUUUGUAAUCAAAGAAACAUAGAGAGAAUUCAAAGUAAUGCCCCCAGAUGAUAGCCCUGAACAAUAAAUAUUACUUAGAAAAACAAACUGCCAAGAGAAAUUAGUCAAUAAAAUUUAGAUUGAAUCACGAUAUUUAUAAACGAGUAGAUAAAUAUAUCUUUUUUAUUAAAAAAUAAUAUUGCAUAAUUCAUCUUAAUUUAUUUCAACUUUUACUCAUAAAAUGUGAUAUAUAAUAUAUUUAUAAAAUUAUUAAUAUUUUGAUAUUACUCUCUUAAUUAAUAAAUAAUUCCAUAAAAACAUCAUACACCAUAUUAUAUAAACAAUAGUUGGGACAAAUCAAAAUGAAAUGUUUAGCAUUUUUCUAGUUAAAACCUAUUCUACAAUUCAAACCAAAAAUAGCAGUCCAAGAAAGCAUAUCUUUCACUAAUAAUCCAAACAAAUCGCUAAUUCUAAACAACCACGUUUUGGUUAAAAGAUUAUUAAUUUAGUUUGUCUAAUAAUUCGAUCCUGAAUUUGCUGAGCCGCAGUAGGAUCUCGCUCGUAUAUACAAAUCCUGAAGAAGAUCACUAUAAAUUUCUGAUCCAAUAAUGAAACUUUGAAGUCCAUAAGUAGGUUUAGGAGAAAUUUAAAGGCAGAUUCAGUUUUAAUAUUAAAUUAUAAAUAAUAUCAAUUAUACAGUAAUAUAUAACAUUAUUUACUGAUUAUUACACUUAUAUCAGUUGAAUUCUAGCCAUAAAUAAUGAAUGGUAUGGAUAGUAGUACUUAAAAAGAAUAAUCUCCAUAUAUAUAUAAAUGCAUGGAAUUUAAUAACUUUCACACCUAUGAAAUUAUCCCACCUAAAACAGAAAACCUUAGUAUUAAAUUGAGAAUAAUGCAGAAAUAUAAAUAUUUGAAAUAAUUACAAAUAAUGCAGAAAUACAAGGACCGCAGGAAAACAGAGGCCACACACUCUUGGCUGGAAUGAUUUUCCUAUUUUUGCAUGCUCACCCAUUACUCUACUCUAUCGCAUUAUUAUUGUUCAAAACUUCACAACUUAACAAAUAUACUUCCAACACAUCACAUGCGUGACCCAUUAAUUAUUACAUGUGAACGUAAAAUGAGAAGUGGUGACAACAGCAGUGAUGUCACACUUUCUGAUAUUACUACAAUUCUUGGAUGACUUACCUUAAUUCCUUUCUGGUGCAUGUUGCAGUAAUUUAUUAGAAAUACAUAAGACCUUUUUUUUCUUCCUAUCUCUUUGUUUCAUUGUAGAAUAGUCCGAGACAACGAUAAUAUCUUACACUUAAUUUGUCUGUAAAUAUAUAUACACUUGACUUUACAUGCUAUAGUAUUAUUAACUAGUCACCUAGACAGAUUUGAAGUAGAUAAUAUUUAUCGAUAAAUUACUUUCUAGAUUUCUAUUUUAUGGUUACAUACAUCAAAAUUUCUGCAAAACAAGUGGAGAAUAGCCUAAUUUGGGGAUUCAAAGAAACUUUGAUGGCUUCUUUUUCUACUCGAAAUUAUACUAAAAAUAAUUCAUAAACAUGAAUGAUCCAAGGGUGGAGAGCAAGACUCUUAGCCAGUUUGUCAAAAAUUUUAACUCGAUGGGACCCAAUAGAUCUAAUUGGUUCGUAAGAGAGCCAAAUGUAUUCAACUUCACUACAUAGUGUACUAAUCUAUAGUAAAGGACAGGUGCAGUAUGACAUGGGUGGUGACGACAUAGUCCCACCGUCCACCCAUGCAAUAUUAUAAAAGGCAGAGCAAAGCUUCAAGUUUUGCACCAUCAACUGAACCCCAAAUAUGUCUUCUAAAUACUUGCUAGUGUUGUUCCUCCUCGGAGCAUUAGUGCUUCUCUUCACAACCCCCUCAUAUGCUGAUCAUCAUGAGCCCCUUAGAAAUAAAGGAGAGAAACCACCUCCAAAACAUAAACCACCACAUGUUCAUCUUCUAGCUGAAAAUAUAGAAGAUUUUCAUGGACAUGCAAAAGGUAAAAGAGACAAGCCACCACCUAAACAUAAACCACCACAUGGACAUCUUUUAGCUGAGGAAGUAGAUGAUUAUUCUACAUCUCCGGGAUGGAAACUACAUAAUCCUCCAUCAGAGCAUAAACCACCGCAUAAGCCUCCACAUGAGCAAAAGCCACUAAAUAGACGUCUUUUACAAGUAGAUAUUGAGGAUGCACAUAAAGAAAAGGGAGAGAAGCCACCACAUGGACAUCUUUUGGCCGAGGAAGUUAUGGAGGACUCGCCUAAGAAAAAGGGAGAGAAGCCACCACCAAAGCACAAGCCACCACAUGGACAUCUUUUGGCCGAGGAAGAGGUCGAGGACUCACACAAAGGGAAGGGAGAGAAGCCACCACCAAAGCACAAGCCACCACAUGGACAUCUUUUGGCCGAGGAAGAAGUUGAGGACUCACACAAGGGAAAGGGAGAGAAGCCACCACCAAAACACAAGCCCCCGCAUGGACAUCUUUUAGCUGAAGAAAAAGUUGAGGACUCACACAAGGGAAAAGGAGAGAAGCCACCACCAAAACACAAGCCCCCGCAUGGACACCUUUUAGCUGAAGAAGAAGUUGAUGAUUCGCACAAGGGAGAGGGAGAAAAGCCACCACCAAAACACAAGCCACCUCACGGGCACUUAUUAGUUGAAGAGGUUGAAGACUCACACAAGGGGAAAGGAGAAAAACCACCGCCCAAGCACAAACCACCUCAUGGACACCUUUUAACUGAAGAGAUCAACGACUCUUACAAAGGAAAGGGAGAGAAGCCACCUCACAAGCCUCCCCACAAACCCCCAUCAGCCGACUAAGUACCUUAGGCUAAUUUCGCUAAAUGCUUAGAAAUAAGAAACAGAAGUCUACUCUUCUGUUGGUUUCUGUAUCUGCAUUUUCACUGAAUUAGUAUUUGUACUUUGGCUUGUAUUAUAUGAAUACUACCCUCUAGUUGGCUGUUUUAUGUAGAUUAUGGUUUUAUGUUCUAGUGCUGUGUGUAUUAUUUCAGUUGAUUUAACUUUUAUUUGCAAACUAUACAGCAAUACAUGCACUUACUCCUAGUACGUAGUUCUGCCACAUGCAUAUAUUUGGUGGUAGGAUAUUGCCAACGACAACAACGUUUAAUUACUUUAACUUAAAUCAAAUAUGAAAUGAUUCUCUUAAUUAAAACUAAAUUUUUUUUAUACCCUAAUUUAACCCUUAUUUAUUAAUUAUAUUUAUUAAAUCUCUUAUUAGUUAAAGUAUAUAUAAUAAAACUAGGUAAGAAUGUGUGAGAUUUCAAAUUUCUUCAUAUCUGUCACUGGUUAUUUCAUGUCUCUGUUUCUGCUUGCUGCCUAUGUUGCAACAUUCAUUUGGCUUCUUAUUCCUAGUCAAUUACUUAUUUGCCUCUCGAUUUUGACUAGGUCGAUAGUAAGCUUAAAGUUUAAUUUCAAACAGUUUCAUAUUUAAAGAAAAGUAGUAUUUUGAAGAAGCGGAAAUAAACACAAAAAAAAGAUAGUUGGUGCAAUGAGUAAAUCAUUUUCAAAUAUAAAAUUAUUAUUACAAGCAAAAUUGGAAUUAUUAGAAUGACAGUAUGCUCCAAAGAUAAGAGUAUAAUAUGAAUAGUACAAAAUUAGCCUUUUUCUUUAAACAAAAUAAUUCAGUAAACUGAUCAUAAGAACGUAAUAAAGAGUAAAAUUCUAUCCUACAUUUGUAUUUCAAAAGUAAAAAAUAUUAAUUUUUAAAUACAUUUGGUUCUCAGUGAUUGACAAGAUAAAAUCUUAUUUAACUUUCUCCUUAUAGAGUAGGAAUUCCAGAUACAUAUUAUCUUACCAAGGGUUUGAUAAUGACAUUUUAAUUACAGCACCACUAUAGACAAGUAGCCAUUGUUAAUGGAGGUUAUCAUUCCAAUUUCCCUCUUGUGAAGUUAUUAAUUUGUGGAGAUUAUAAAGGACUCCAAUCUUUAACCCUUCCAAUGAGUUAAAAAAAUAUAAAAUAUUUCUUAUCAAAUUGCACCAUCAACAACUCAUACGAAUGCCACCUUUAUGGCCGCAAAACAGAGUGCUUGAUAACCAAAUUUAAGAUAAAUCUCAAUUCGACGGUAAGUGCAUCACUUAGAUUUGUUACAUCCUAAUAAUAUAUACUAAAUUUAUAAAUAAUUAAUAUAUAUUUUAUUAAUUUAAAUAAUAAAAUAUAUAAAUUAUAUAUAUAUCAACUGCCAGUGGUACCUUUUUUAAACUAAAGGAAGCUAUUAGUGGAGACAAGCUUUAGAAGUGAACGCCACUCAUCUGCUAAACUACAAAAGAUGCCACCACACCUCUGACGUCAAAUGAUAUGCAUGUGCUCUAGUCACUGUUGAAACUAAGAAAUUAUUAACCGUGAGCCUAAUAUCCAAAGAACCUUUGGAUCCAAUCAAUUGAUUUUAGAUAAACUAUGGUGAAAAUAUAUCAUUUUUCGUUACUCUUCAGCUUUCCACCAAAUUCAGCCCCCCAAAAGUUCAAGAAAAAAAAUUAAUACCAAGGAUAAUAUAAAUUCCAAGAGUUUAGGCGAAUAAUUUUUUUUCUGAUCAGCAUUUUGCAAUUAGUUGAAAAUUGGAACUUGCCAGAAGCUGUGCAGCUCAAUUUUAUCAGGCACAUACGAAAACACACUUCCUAUUUCUCUGAAAGUUUGUCUUGCAGCAGUUUAAGAUGAACAAAAGCAAGUUGGUUUUCUGCUUGUAAUUUACAACUCAAUUAGAUUAUAGAAGAAAUUAAAACAGUAAUAUGUAAUUCUUUGGGGCAUAACCUUUAAUACUACUGAUAAGUAUAACGGAUACGUUCCUAAAUUAUAUUGUACUAAAUUUACAACCGCAAGGAGAUCCAAGUUGGAGAGUUAAUAAUCACACUAGGUUAGGAGAAAGAGCAAUAACUUGGCCAUAUUGUCAAAGUUUUCAACUAGUUGGAACCCGGUGGAUCUUCUUCUCUAAACCGGUGGAUCUUCUUCUCUAACAUGAAAUUUUAAACAGCCAACUUGACUGCAUAGGGUACUAGGUUAGUAAAGACAAGAAAGUAUGACAUGAACAAAAACCACUUAAUAGACGUCUUUUACAAGUAGAUAUUGAGGAUGCACAUAAAGGAAAGGGAGAGAAGCCACCGCAUGGACAUCUUUUGGCCGAGGAAGUUAUGGAGGACUCGUAUAAGAACAAGAGAGAGAAGCCACCACAUGGACAUCUUUUGGCCGAGGAAUAAGUGGAGGAUUCACGCAAAGGAAACGGAGAGAAACCACCAC